rnacentral:rRNA from 1 species
AUAGCUGGUUCUCCUCGAAAUAGCUUUAGGGCUAGCCUCGAGCUGGAGUCUAACGGAGGUAAAGCACUGAACUGACGCGGGGCCCAAAAAGGUUACCAACUCAUAUCAAACUAAGAAUGCCGUCAAGAUACCCUCGGGAGUCAGUCUGCGUGAGAUAAGUCGCGUGGACAAAAGGGAAAGAGCCCAGACCGACAGCUAAGGUCCCAAAGUGUGUGUUAAGUGGAAAAGGAUGUGGGAUUUCAUAGACAACUAGGAUGUUGGCUUAGAAGCAGCCAUACAUUUAAAGAGUGCGUAAUAGCUCACUAGUCGAGAAAACCUGCGCCGAAAAUGUAACGGGGCUAAAACACGACACCGAAGCUACGGAUUCCUUACAAAGUAAGGAGUGGUAGAGGAGCAUCCUGCAAGGACGAAGCCAAAGUGAGAGCGAUGGUGGACGAAACAGGAGAGAGAAUGCCGGAAUGAGUAGCGAGAUACAUGUGAGAAACAUGUAGGCCGAAUAUCUAAGGAUUCCUGGGUAAAGCUAAUCUUCCCAGGGUUAGUCGGGGCCUAAGGCGAGGACGAAAGUCGUAGUCGAUGGAUAACAGGUUGAUAUUCCUGUACUACACAUAAUCAGAACUGUGGGGACGCAGGAGGAUAGGGAAACCGGGGAAUGGAAAGACCCGGUCAAGCGUAAAGCUGUGGGAGAUAGGCAAAUCCGUCUCCUGUAAGUGAAACGUGAUGAGGACUGAAAAAAAGUAAGGAAGUUUCCGAAUCCACACUGCCGAGAAAAGCCGCUAUUGCGUUAUGUGUACCCGUACCGUAAACCGACACAGGUAGAUGAGGAGAAAAUCCACAGGCCGACGGGAGAAGUGUUGUUAAGGAACUCGGCAAAAUGACCCCGUAACUUCGGGAUAAGGGGAGCCUCGCAAGAGGCCGCAGAAAAGAGGCACAAGCAACUGUUUAGCAAAAACAUAGGUCUAUGCGAAACCGUAAGGUGAAGUAUAUGGGCUGACGCCUGCCCGGUGCUGGAAGGUUAAAAGGAGAGGUCAGCGCAAGCGAAGCUUUGAAUUCAAGCCCCAGUAAACGGCGGCCGUAACUAUAACGGUCCUAAGGUAGCGAAAUUCCUUGUCAGGUAAGUUCUGACCCGCACGAAAGGUGUAAUGAUUUGAGCACUGUCUCGACAACACGCCCGGUGAAAUUGAAGAACCAGUGAAGAUACUGGUUACCCGCAACAGGACGGAAAGACCCCAUGGAGCUUUACUGCAGCCUGAUACUGGGAUUCGAUGAUAUAUGUACAGGAUAGGUGGGAGGCUAAGAAGCGAGAACGCCAGUUUUCGUGGAGCCGCCGGUGGGAUACCACUCUUAUGUCAUUGAAUUUCUAACCUGCAUCCGU